rnacentral:rRNA from 1 species
AUGGUUGGUUAUGUGCUUCUUCUAAUCUACUUCCACAGUAUCAGCAAUCUUCGCAAUCGUGCAGACAAAAGCAAGCGGUUGCCUCCAAUUUACAAGGUUUCAAAAACUGUAUAUGCAUCCCCUAGCCGUGUAAAUUUCCGCCUUGAUCAAAGAAAGGCUGUAGAGACAGUACCUGCAUAUCCGAACAUUUAUUUCUCAGUUGAUGACUUCGAUGAUCCUUUUGAUGCUGUGGUUUUGUCAGACCCAGAACACUGCUAUUGUGUGAUUCUCAAUGCGCAUGAUGGGGCAGCAUUUCCUGAAGAAAGCAAAUCAAGCAAUGUCGGUUCAAAUAUACAAUCUGGGAUCAACUCUGGGAGCAGUGGAGAGAACCCACCAAAGGUUCACUCUCUUCCUAAAUGA